rnacentral:rRNA from 1 species
UGCCUGGUUCAGGCCAGCAUCGGUUUUCUCAGUGGGAUAAAGGCUUUGGGAAUGUAGCUCUUCCGGGAGUGUUAUAGCCCGUUGCACAAUACCUCUGAGGGGACCGAGGUUCGCGCUCUGCAAGGAUGCUGGCGUAAUGGUCAUCAGCGG